rnacentral:rRNA from 1 species
AGAGUUUGAUCCUGGCUCAGGACGAACGCUGGCGGCGUGCCUAAUACAUGCAAGUAGAACGCUGAAGGGAGGAGCUUGCUCUUCUUGGAUGAGUUGCGAACGGGUGAGUAACGCGUAGGUAACCUGCCUUGUAGCGGGGGAUAACUAUUGGAAACGAUAGCUAAUACCGCAUAACAAUGGAUGACACAUGUCAUUUAUUUGAAAGGGGCAAUUGUUCCACUACAAGAUGGACCUGCGUUGUAUUAGCUAGUAGGUGAGGUAAUGGCUCACCUAGGCGACGAUACAUAGCCGACCUGAGAGGGUGAUCGGCCACACUGGGACUGAGACACGGCCCAGACUCCUACGGGAGGCAGCAGUAGGGAAUCUUCGGCAAUGGGGGCAACCCUGACCGAGCAACGCCGCGUGAGUGAAGAAGGUUUUCGGAUCGUAAAGCUCUGUUGUAAGUCAAGAACGGGUGUGAGAGUGGAAAGUUCACACUGUGACGGUAGCUUACCAGAAAGGGACGGCUAACUACGUGCCAGCAGCCGCGGUAAUACGUAGGUCCCGAGCGUUGUCCGGAUUUAUUGGGCGUAAAGCGAGCGCAGGCGGUUUGAUAAGUCUGAAGUUAAAGGCUGUGGCUCAACCAUAGUUCGCUUUGGAAACUGUCAAACUUGAGUGCAGAAGGGGAGAGUGGAAUUCCAUGUGUAGCGGUGAAAUGCGUAGAUAUAUGGAGGAACACCGGUGGCGAAAGCGGCUCUCUGGUCUGUAACUGACGCUGAGGCUCGAAAGCGUGGGGAGCGAACAGGAUUAGAUACCCUGGUAGUCCACGCCGUAAACGAUGAGUGCUAGGUGUUGGAUCCUUUCCGGGAUUCAGUGCCGCAGCUAACGCAUUAAGCACUCCGCCUGGGGAGUACGACCGCAAGGUUGAAACUCAAAGGAAUUGACGGGGGCCCGCACAAGCGGUGGAGCAUGUGGUUUAAUUCGAAGCAACGCGAAGAACCUUACCAGGUCUUGACAUCCCGAUGCUAUUUCUAGAGAUAGAAAGUUACUUCGGUACAUCGGUGACAGGUGGUGCAUGGUUGUCGUCAGCUCGUGUCGUGAGAUGUUGGGUUAAGUCCCGCAACGAGCGCAACCCCUAUUGUUAGUUGCCAUCAUUCAGUUGGGCACUCUAGCGAGACUGCCGGUAAUAAACCGGAGGAAGGUGGGGAUGACGUCAAAUCAUCAUGCCCCUUAUGACCUGGGCUACACACGUGCUACAAUGGUUGGUACAACGAGUUGCGAGUCGGUGACGGCGAGCUAAUCUCUUAAAGCCAAUCUCAGUUCGGAUUGUAGGCUGCAACUCGCCUACAUGAAGUCGGAAUCGCUAGUAAUCGCGGAUCAGCACGCCGCGGUGAAUACGUUCCCGGGCCUUGUACACACCGCCCGUCACACCACGAGAGUUUGUAACACCCGAAGUCGGUGAGGUAACCUUUUGGAGCCAGCCGCCUAAGGUGGGACAGAUGAUUGGGGUGAAGUCGUAACAAGGUA